UACAGAGGGUGCGAGCGUUGUCCGGAAUCACUGGGCGUAAAGAGCUCGUAGGUGGCCCGACAAGUCAAUGGUGAAAGCUCGACGCUCAACGUCGAGUCGGCCACUGAUACUGUUGGGCUGGAGCACUGUAGAGGCUCAUGGAAUUCCGGGUGUAGCGGUGGAAUGCGUAGAGAUCCGGAAGAACACCGGUGGCGAAGGCGGUGAGCUGGGCAGUAGCUGACACUGAGGCGCGACAGCGUGGGGAGCAAACAGG
rnacentral:rRNA from 1 species